AGAAAUAAAAUUUGUAGAUUUUCGAAGGAAUGCCAAAAGCGAAAGCAAUAAUCUUGUUUUAUACUGACGUUGAUAUACGAAAGCAUAGGUAGCAAAGAGGAUUAGAUACCCUCGUAGUCUAUCGCUAUAAACUAUGAAUACUCGUUUUUGGAGAUUUUUUCAGAAACCUAGCUAACGCGUUAAGUAUUCUGCCUGAGGAGUACGUCGGCAACGUUAAAACUCAAAGGAAUUGACGGGGAUUCGCACAAUUGAUGGAACAUGUGGUUUAAUUCGUCAGUACACGCAAAACCUUACCAAUUUUUGUAUAAUUUAAAAACUUCUUUAAAAGGAUAAUAUAUUUAAGUUACAGGUGUUGCAUGGUUGUCGUAAGCUCGUGUUUUGAGAUGUCAGGUUAACUCCAGUAACGAGCGAAACCC
rnacentral:rRNA from 1 species